UACGGGGGGGGCAAGCGUUGUUCGGAAUUACUGGGCGUAAAGGGCUCGUAGGCGGCCAACUAAGUCAGACGUGAAAUCCCUCGGCUUAACCGGGGAACUGCGUCUGAUACUGGAUGGCUUGAGGUUGGGAGAGGGAUGCGGAAUUCCAGGUGUAGCGGUGAAAUGCGUAGAUAUCAGGAGGAACACCGGUGGCGAAGGCGGCUCACUGGCUCAUUACUGACGCUCAUGCGCGACAGCGUGGGGAUCAAACAGG
rnacentral:rRNA from 1 species